CUGCUUGUGCUAAAGUGCUUACAGUGCAGGUAGUGGUGAAUCCAAACCUACUGCAGUGGGAGCACUUCUUUCACACGCGG
rnacentral:pre_miRNA from 1 species